rnacentral:tRNA from 1 species
GGGCCCGUAGUCGAGGGGUUAAGACGCCGCUCUUACACAGCGGAGAUCCCAGGUUCGAAUCCUGGCGGGCCCA